GGUAAAAAGUAACCAACUUUAACUUUGCGUCGUCAAUUUUACAGCGUCCCCCUUUCCCUCUCCCUUGAGCGCUUGGAGGAAUAAGGUGUAACAGAACAAAUAGAGCUGCUAUUGAUUUGUCCCAAUUAUCUGUGACAACAAAACAGUGGUUAGCAAUUUAUUUACGAAAUUUAUGAUUAUUAGAUUUACGGAAACACUUACCAUAAUUAUUGUUUGCGAAUUUCAAUAGGGCUGGCGAAUUACUUAAAGUUUUGCAGUGCGCAAUCAAUCGGUCAGCAAAUUCCGGCCACGUGUUUAGAAAGUUUUGUUCAAGUAAUUUACAAUUCCGUCUGGCGUUCCCGGAUAUUUCCAGAAAGGCAGAAUUUCAACAAUCGCCUUUGCAAAAGAUAUCUGGUCUCGAGUGCAUGUCUACCAAUUUCGACACAAACUCGUUAACAAUUAUUGCCGCCGCUGAGUUAUCGACGAGGGACUUCUCUCUGCACUCCAAGAUUAGAUUCGCCAAACGCGGCGUCUUCUCGACAUAUUCCUCUAAUAUCUAAUAUCGAAAAAAAUCAAAAAUUGUAGUUACUAUGUACUUGUUAGAAUAUAUUGAGCUGAUGAACUGUUUACCUGCUUAAAUACAUCAACGUCACCAAGUCCUAAUGAUGGCGAAACUGGUGAUGGCGCCGGUGAACACAAUGGACUUGGCACUACAAAAUUAUUAAUUAUUAUUAAUUAUCAGGUCAUAUAUUAAUUCCUGGAGGUAUUACUUAUCUAUGUAGUACUUACAAUAAUAAAUUUG